rnacentral:rRNA from 1 species
AUUGAACGCUGGCGGCAGGCCUAACACAUGCAAGUCGAACGAGUGGCGGACGGGUGAGUAAUGUCUGGGAAACCGCCUGAUGGGGGGGGAUCAAUAGUGGAAAAGGUCUCUAAUCCCGCAAACCCUCAGAUGCGCCCAGAUGGGAUUAGCGAGUGGGUGGGGUAACGGCUCACCAGGGCGACGAUCCCUCGCUGGUCUGAGAGGAUGACCAGCCACAUUGGAACUGGGACACGGUCAAGACUCCUACGGGAGGCAGCAGUGGGGAAGAUUGCACAAUGGGCGCAAGCCUGAUGCAGCCAUGCCGCGUGUAUGAAGAAGGCCUUCGGGUUGUAAAGUACUUUCAGCGGGGAGGCGUUACCCGCAGAAGAAGCACCGGCUAACUCCGUGCCAGCAGCCGCGGUAAUUC